CCUACGGGAGGCAGCAGUGGGGAAUAUUGCACAAUGGGGGAAACCCUGAUGCAGCGACGCCGCGUGAGUGAAGAAGUAUUUCGGUACGUAAAGCUCUAUCAGCAGGGAAGAAAAUGACGGUACCUGACGAAGAAGCCCCGGCUCACGACGUGCCAGCGGCCGCGGUAAGACGUAGGGGGCAAGCGUUAUCCGGAUUUACUGGGUGUAAAGGGAGCGUAGAAGGCAGCGCAAGUCUGAGUUGAAAUCCCAUGGCUUAACCAUGGAACUGCUUUGGAAACUGUGCAGCUGGAGUGCAGGAGAGGAUAGUGGAAUUCCAGGUGUAGGAGUGAAAUCCGUAGAUAUCUGGAGGAACAUCAGUGGCGAAGGCGACUAUCUGGCACAUAACUGACGCUGAGCCGCGAAAGCGUGGGUAGCAAACAGGAUUAGAUACCCGAGUAGUC
rnacentral:rRNA from 1 species